rnacentral:lncRNA from 1 species
AAAGAAUGCGUCAAUAAGAAUUCCAAAUAAACAGCACUGAACGGUCUAAAUUUGUAAAUAUUUCAAAUUUGACAACGGAAGAGUAGUUGCAUCAGAGUCUGCGAUGUUUAAAACAAACGGCCGUUAAAAUAUAAUAAUAAAUUUUGACUAAGGUAAACUAGUUGAACGUGGCUUGGUAGUUUUACAUCCCUAAAAAAAAUAAGCAAUUUAAAUUGUUAUAUUCAACAGAUUUAUUUUAGAGAUGAGUAAGGUAAAGAAAUAGAAACAGAGACUGUAAUAAUAAGUAAUAUAACCC